GACGAACGCUGGCGGCGUGCUUAACACAUGCAAGUCGAGCGGUAAGGCUCCUUCGGGAGUACACGAGCGGCGAACGGGUGAGUAACACGUGAGCAAUCUGCCCUUCACACUGGGAUAACCCCCGGAAACGGGUGCUAAUACCGGAUACGACCACUUCAGACAUCUGAUGGUGGUGGAAAGCUCCGGCGGUGGAGGAUGAGCUCGCGGCCUAUCAGCUUGUUGGUGAGGUAACGGCUCACCAAGGCUUCGACGGGUAGCCGGCCUGAGAGGGUGACCGGCCACACUGGGACUGAGACACGGCCCAGACUCCUACGGGAGGCAGCAGUGGGGAAUAUUGGACAAUGGGCGAAAGCCUGAUCCAGCAACGCCGCGUGAGGGAUGACGGCCUUCGGGUUGUAAACCUCUUUCACCCAGGACGAAGCGAAAGUGACUUAACUGGGAAAAGAAGCACCGGCCAACUACGUGCCAGCAGCCGCCGUAACAC
rnacentral:rRNA from 1 species